GACGAACGCUGGCGGCGUGCUUAACACAUGCAAGUCGAACGCUGAAGCUCAGCUUGCUGGGUGGAUGAGUGGCGAACGGGUGAGUAACACGUGAGUAACCUGCCCCCUUCUUUGGGAUAACGCCCGGAAACGGGUGCUAAUACUGGAUAUUCACUGAUCUUCGCAUGGGGGUUGGUGGAAAGGUUUUUCCUGGUGGGGGAUGGGCUCGCGGCCUAUCAGCUUGUUGGUGGGGUGAUGGCCUACCAAGGCUUUGACGGGUAGCCGGCCUGAGAGGGUGACCGGUCACAUUGGGACUGAGAUACGGCCCAGACUCCUACGGGAGGCAGCAGUGGGGAAUAUUGCACAAUGGGCGAAAGCCUGAUGCAGCGACGCCGCGUGAGGGAUGGAGGCCUUCGGGUUGUAAACCUCUUUCGCUCAUGGUCAAGCCGCAACAGUGGUUGUGGUGAGGGUAGUGGGUAAAGAAGCGCCGGCUAACUACGUG
rnacentral:rRNA from 1 species